GGGGAAUCUUGCACAAUGCGCGAAAGCGUGAUGCAGCAACGCCGCGUGCGGGAAGAAGGCCUUAGGGUUGUAAACCGCUUUCAGUUGGGACGAAGCUUCAGUCGUUAAUAGCGGUUUGGAGUGACGGUACCUUCAGAAGAAGCGCCGGCUAACUACGUGCCAGCAGCCGCGGUAAUACGUAGGGCGCGAGCGUUGUCCGGAAUCAUUGGGCGUAAAGCGCGUGUAGGCGGCUGAGUAAGUCUGCUGUGAAAGUCCAGGGCUCAACCCUGGAAUGUCGGGGGAUACUGCUCAGCUGGAGUACGGGAGGGGCGAGUGGAAUUCCUGGUGUAGCGGUGGAAUGCGCAGAUAUCAGGAGGAACACCUAUGGCGAAGGCAGCUCGCUGGAACGUUACUGACGCUGAGACGCGAAAGCGUGGGGAGCAAAC
rnacentral:rRNA from 1 species